GAAAAGAAGAUCCCUGAAAAGAGAAAACCACCACCACCUACUCCACCAACAGAAGAUAUUAAAAUGGCAAAAGAACUACUUAAAGCUCCUGAAUCAAGGAAGAAAGUUGUGACUGCAAAACCUGGUGAGCCUCCAAAAUUGGAACCACCACCUGCUAAAGUGCCUGGACUUGUUAAGAAACCUCGCAAAGUAAUUCCUGAAGUUACUCCUCCACCAAAAGAAGAAGUUGUUCUAAAAAGAGGUAUAGUAACUUGGCUCUGUUUAAAAAAAAAACAACGUAUCAACAUUGUUCAGUAUAUUCCCCUAAGUAACAUUGUUUUAUGUGUGUGGUAUGGAAAAUUAUAUGAAAAAAGUACUACCCAAUGUCUGUUUCUUGGGGAGAGGCUUUAUAGUUGCAGGAAUGAAGUGGAGAUAUCCUGAAAAUCCAUCCAAAGGAUCUGUGAUGAAAACAGAGCAGAACACUGAAAGUCUGGUUCCCUAUAACUCUCUUCUGUUUUCUUAAUCUCUGUAAAGCCUAUACUAGAGUUGACAGUUUUCCACUGCCUUCAGCUUCUGGACCCCUAAAUAUUUUCCAGUGACAGUAUAAAUGCUAUUAAAUUCACAUAUGUAGCAUCUGUAUUCUCUUCUAUGGUUUACUCAGAAGUACUGCACAGAUGUGGUACCCGGUGGUACUAUUGGACAUCAGUUUCCAGUCUGUACCUUUCUGAAUCAAUUCAUGCUCAAUUAUUGAUUAGAAAAUGGUACCACUAAUUUCAAUUCUCUUUGAAAUACCAUAGAGGGAUGAUUCAUGCCCAUGUACCUUGCAGCCAACCUUCAAACUUCAAACUUAAUAAAAUAUAGAUACUGAGUUUUUCA
rnacentral:lncRNA from 1 species